AUUAGAAUAAAAAUAUGGGCUAUACUUGUUGCUGAUUUGUACCGUUUGCAAAUCGUUUUCGGUAUCUAGGAAAGUGUGAGUAGAUUCGAAAAACAGUUUUAAAGUUCAAUUUUAAAGCUUGAAUUUUUCAUAUCAUCAAGCUUUUUAAAGAUAAAAAAUUGAAAGGUAAAUUCAAAUUAUGAGCAAAUGACAUACGUAUUAUAACCCUUUUAUUCCCAGUGUUCUCAGCAGUUUCUAAAUCGAAGCCUAAAGAAUGAUAAAAGUUCAGCUUUAACAUAUUCGCAUUUUCCUCUGACUGACAUAUGUCUUCAGAAGUAUUUUCGCGUUCCUCAAGUUGUAGUAGCUGUUCCUUCAUUUUCUGCAAUUGAGAUUCUAAACUCAUAAUUUCGUUCUCAGUGAUAUUCAACAACUUGGCUAUCCUAAAUUUCUCCUUUUCCCUGCUUAAAAUCUCCUCAGCGUGUUGUGAUGACUCUGCUGUUUGUUUUAAUGACUCCAUAGCCUGGGUAGAUAUUUCUAAUUUUCUUGAAAGCACUAUUCACAGUUAAUGCAUGGUCGUUUAUUUCUAGAUUAAAACUAACCUUUAAAUUUGGUUUGAGAUCCUUCCAAUUCUUUUUCUCUGAAGCUCUGUAUCUGUGCGCGAAUGUCUUGAAUGUUUGAGAUGGUUUUCACAUCUGGUGCAAUUUGAAAACCAGCAAGCGUGGACCGCAUAAGUUCAAUUGGACUGUCUGACAUAUUUACUUCUCUUUUAUUUAUGUUCUUUUGUGUUUAAAAAGUAAUUUCUUUGAAAACUUUCAACGUGGUCGUAACGUACGAAAAGG